AUGUCCCUCCGUACACUCCGGUUCCUCCGCGCCGUCCGCACCCACCUGACGACUGCUCGCUACGUUUUGUUAGCC
rnacentral:sRNA from 1 species